AAAUUGAAGAGUUUGAUCAUGGCUCAGAUUGAACGCUGGUGGCAGGCCUAACACAUGCAAGUCGAACGGUAACAGGAAACAGCUUGCUGUUUCGCUGACGAGUGGCGGACGGGUGAGUAAUGUCUGGGAAACUGCCUGAUGGAGGGGGAUAACUACUGGAAACGGUAGCUAAUACCGCAUAACGUCGCAAGACCAAAGAGGGGGACCCUCGGGCCUCUUGCCAUCGGAUGUGCCCAGAUGGGAUUAGCUUGUUGGUGGGGUAACGGCUCACC
rnacentral:rRNA from 1 species